rnacentral:rRNA from 1 species
UUACGGGAGGCAGCAGUGAGGAAUCUUCCGCAAUGGGCGAAAGCCUGACGGAGCAAUGCCGCGUGAACGAUGAAGGCCUUCGGGUCGUAAAGUUCUGUUGUGGGGGAAGAAAUCCUCUAGUUAUAACACAGCUAGAGGUUUGACGGUACUCCACGAGGAAGCCCCGGCUAAUUACGUGCCAGCAGCCGCGGUAAUACGUAAGGGGCAAGCGUUGUCCGGAAUCACUGGGCGUAAAGCGCACGUAGGCGGUUUGUCAAGUUGGGGGUGUAAGCUCUGGGCCUAACCCAGAAAUUGCCUCCAAAACUAGCAUACUUGAGUAUUAGAGGGGAAGCUGGAAUUCACGGUGUAGCGGUGAAAUGCGUAGAUAUCGUGGAGAACACCCGUGGCGAAGGCGGGCUUCUGGCUAAUUACUGACGCUGAGGUGCGAAAGCUAGGGGAGCGAACGGGAUUAGAUACCCUGGUAGUCC